rfam:Hordeum vulgare subsp. vulgare, WGS project CAJW01000000 data, contig: morex_contig_56232
GAUAUACUCCCUCCGUCCGAAAAUACUUAUCACAGUAAUGGAUGCAUCUAGAUGUAUUUUAGUUCUAGAUACAUCUAUUUUAUAAAUUUGUGCGACAAGUAAUUCCGGACGGAGGGAGUAUAAC